rnacentral:lncRNA from 1 species
CAGCACCAGUCCUCCCCGCGCUCCAUCCCCGACUGCAGGCCUGAACACCCCUUCACCAGAGACUCAACAGCUCGUUUUCUGCCUGGGGCCUCCCCCCUAGGGGAAGCGUCAGCGGAGAAGGAUCCCUCCACCUGGGGAUCUCAGGAGGUGUCAGCGGAGGAGGCUACCUCGUCCCGUGGGAUGCGGGGCACGGCCAAGCUCAGCGCCAAUGGUCCUAAUGCCAGUCCUGGUUCCUGUACCUUCUCCUGACACUGGCAACAAGCAGAACAGCAAUCUGAACAAGUGUGACAGUUCCAGUUUUAUCAGAGACUGCUGCUUUCCA